rnacentral:lncRNA from 1 species
GUAGAAAGAACUAUGGGCGUCAUGUGGCAAAUAUUACAUGCAUAUCGGACAAUGAGUUGUCAAUCUGUAUGAAAAGAUUUCCAAUACAACCAUAUUAUUGAGAAGGAAUGUUUACAUGCUAUACUCUCGUACUAGUAUUACAGGGUUCUUGUGGCGUUCACCUUAGACACACAUCUUUUUAACGAUGUUUAAAAAAAAAGACAGAACCAAUUUAAUGUCAUAUUUCCCUAUUUUUUUAAAUAUAACUAAAAGUCUUUUAUCUGACAAGAAUACCCCUAUUUAGCGA